CUCCGUCGAAAAUUAGGCUACCAGAUUUUCUAUGCUGCCAAAAUUAGGCUUUGUUCUUUUCCAUCCAAUCUGAAAGUUUGGUGGAUCCUGCUUCACAAGCCAGUUCUUGAUUUUCUAUUGUGAAUUAUCUCUAACUUUCUUCGUUUCUCUAUUGGGAAUUUUUUCUGGGUUGAUUGUUGUUUCUGAAGUUGGUGUGGGACUGAGGAAAUUGGGCUCUUGAGGCUCGGG
rnacentral:lncRNA from 1 species